rnacentral:rRNA from 2 species
UUAAAUUGAAGAGUUUGAUCAUGGCUCAGAUUGAACGCUGGCGGCAGGCCUAACACAUGCAAGUCGAACGGUAACAGGAAGCAGCUUGCUGUUUCGCUGACGAGUGGCGGACGG